AGAGUUUGAUCCUGGCUCAGGAUGAACGCUAGCGGCAGGCCUAACACAUGCAAGUCGAGGGAGAAGCCCUUUCGGGGGCGGAAACCGGCGCACGGGUGCGUAACGCGUAUGCAACCUACCUUUCACAGGGGGAUAGCCCGAAGAAAUUUGGAUUAAUACCCCAUAAUAUUAUUGGAUGGCAUCAUUUAAUAAUUAAAACUGCGGUGGUGAAAGAUGGGCAUGCGUCCUAUUAGCUAGUUGGAGUGGUAACGGCACCCCAAGGCUACGAUAGGUAGGGGUCCUGAGAGGGAGAUCCCCCACACUGGUACUGAGACAGGGACCAGACUCCUACGGGAGGCAGCAGUGAGGAAUAUUGGUCAAUGGUCGGAAGACUGAACCAGCCAUGCCGCGUGCAGGAAGAAUGCCUUAUGGGUUGUAAACUGCUUUUAUAUGGGAAGAAUAAGGCGUACGUGUACGUUGAUGACGGUACCAUAUGAAUAAGCAUCGGCUAACUCCGUGCCAGCAGCCGCGGUAAUACGGAGGAUGCGAGCGUUAUCCGGAUUUAUUGGGUUUAAAGGGUGCGUAGGCGGCCUGUUAAGUCAGCGGUGAAAUCUAGGAGCUUAACUCCUAAAUUGCCAUUGAUACUGGCGGGCUUGAGUGUAGAUGAGGUAGGCGGAAUGCGUGGUGUAGCGGUGGAAUGCAUAGAUAUCACGCAGAACUCCGAUUGCGAAGGCAGCUUACUAAGGUACAACUGACGCUGAAGCACGAAAGCGUGGGUAUCAAACAGGAUUAGAUACCCUGGUAGUCCACGCAGUAAACGAUGAUAACUGGGCGUAUGCGAUAUACAGUAUGCUCCUAAGCGAAAGCGUUAAGUUAUCCACCUGGGGAGUACGCCGGCAACGGUGAAACUCAAAGGAAUUGACGGGGGCCCG
rnacentral:rRNA from 1 species